rnacentral:rRNA from 1 species
AGACAGUCGUGGCUUCGACCAGGGCCAUGUUUGACGGUACCUGAACCAGAAAAGCCCCGGCAAAUAAGUGCCAGCAGCCGUGGUAAUACGGUAGGGGGCGAGCGUUGUCCGGGACUUAUUGGGCGUAAAGGGCGCGCAGGCGGUCUUUUAAGUCUGAUGUGACAUCUCGCGGCUCAACCGCGAGCGGUCAUUGGAAACUGGGAGACUUGAGUACAGAAGAGGAGAGUGGAAUUCCACGUGUAGCGGUGAAAUGCGUAGAGAUGUGGAGGAACACCAGUGGCGAAGGCGACUCUCUGGUCUGUUACUGACGCUGAGGCGCGAAAGCGUGGGUAGCGAACAGGAUUAGAUACCCUGGUAGUCCACGCCGUAAACGUUGAGUGCUAGGUGUUAGGGGGUUUCCGCCCCUUUUGUGCUGAAGUUAACGCAUUAAGCACUCCGCCUGGGGAGUACGGCCGCAAGGCUGAAACUCAAAAGAAUUGACGGGGGCCCGCACAAGCGGUGGAGCAUGUGGUUUAAUUCGAAGCAACGCGAAGAACCUUACCAGGUCUUGACAUCCUCUGACAGCGGCAGAGAUGCCGUGUUCCCUUCGGGGACAGAGUGACAGGUGGUGCAUGGUUGUCGUCAGCUCGUGUCGUGAGAUGUUGGGUUAAGUCCCGUAACGAGCGCAACCCUUAAUCUUAGUUGCCAGCAUUAAGUUGGGCACUCUAAGGUGACUGCCGGUGACAAACCGGAGGAAGGCGGGGAUGACGUCAAAUCAUCAUGCCCCUUAUGACCUGGGCUACACACGUGCUACAAUGGAUGGAACAAAGGGACGCGAAGCGGCGACGUGAUAGCCAAUCCCACAAAACCAUUCCCAGUUCGGAUUGCAGGCUGCAACUCGCCUGUAUGAAGCCGGAAUCGCUAGUAAUCGCGGAUCAGAAUGCCGCGGUGAAUACGUUCCCGGGCCUUGUACACACUCUGCCCGUCUACAAGCACGCAGUAGUUGGCCUUUUACUUACCU